ensembl:lncRNA
UCAAUGUGGAGGCUAUAUACAGGGUGUUACGGUACAGAGUCAAUGUGGAGGCUAUAUACAGGGUAUUACGGUACAGAGUCAAUGUGGAGGCUAUAUACAGGGGGUACCGGUACAGAGUCAAUGUGGAGGCUAUAUACAGGGGGGUACCGGUACAGAGUCAAUGUGGAGGCUAUAUACAGGGGUACCGGUACAGAGUCAAUGUGGAGGCUAUAUACAGGGGGUACCGGUACAGAGUCCAUGUGGAGGCUAUAUACAGGGUAUUACGGAACAGAGUCAAUGUGGAGGCUAUAUACAGGGUGUUACGGUACAGAGUCAAUGUGGGGCUAUAUACAGG